rnacentral:piRNA from 1 species
UAGAUGGUUUGAUAGUAGGGAUUAGAGUC